rnacentral:rRNA from 1 species
CGGACGGGUGAGUAAUGCUUAGGAAUCUGCCUAUUAGUGGGGGACAACAUUCCGAAAGGAAUGCUAAUACCGCAUACGCCCUACGGGGGAAAGCAGGGGAUCUUCGGACCUUGCGCUAAUAGAUGAGCCUAAGUCAGAUUAGCUAGUUGGUGGGGUAAAGGCCUACCAAGGCGACGAUCUGUAGCGGGUCUGAGAGGAUGAUCCGCCACACUGGGACUGAGACACGGCCCAGACUCCUACGGGAGGCAGCAGUGGGGAAUAUUGGACAAUGGGCGAAAGCCUGAUCCAGCCAUGCCGCGUGUGUGAAGAAGGCCUUUUGGUUGUAAAGCACUUUAAGCGAGGAGGAGGCUACUGAGAUUAAUACUCUAGGAUAGUGGACGUUACUCGCAGAAUAAGCACCGGCUAACUCUGUGCCAGCAGCCGCGGUAAUACAGAGGGUGCGAGCGUUAAUCGGAUUUACUGGGCGUAAAGCGUGCGUAGGCGGCUUUUUAAGUCGGAUGUGAAAUCCCUGAGCUUAACUUAGGAAUUGCAUUCGAUACUGGGAAGCUAGAGUAUGGGAGAGGAUGGUAGAAUUCCAGGUGUAGCGGUGAAAUGCGUAGAGAUCUGGAGGAAUACCGAUGGCGAAGGCAGCCAUCUGGCCUAAUACUGACGCUGAGGUACGAAAGCAUGGGGAGCAAACAGGAUUAG